AACAGAAUGGUGUGUAAGGGCACGCAGAGCUUUGGUCUCUGAAGAGCACGGUCAAACGAGCUUCUGUUA
rnacentral:tRNA from 1 species